CAGUCGCCACGGUAAUACGUAGGUGGCGAGCGUUGUCCGGAAUUAUUGGGCGUAAAGGGCUCGCAGGCGGUUUCUUAAGUCUGAUGUGAAAGCCCGCGGCUCAACCGGGGAGGGUCAUUGGAAACUGAAAACUUGAGUGCAGGAGAGGAGAGUGGAAUUCCACGUGUAGCGGUGAAAUGCGUAGAGAUGUGGAGGAACACCAGUGGCGAAGGCGACUCUCUGGUCUGUAACUGACGCUGAGGAGCAAAAGCGUGGGGAGCGAACAGGAUUAGAUACCCCGGUAGUCCCUGUCUCUUAUACA
rnacentral:rRNA from 1 species